AUUGAACGCUGGCGGCAGGCUUAACACAUGCAAGUCGAGCGAGCGGCGGACGGGUGAGUAAUGUCUGGGAAACUGCCUGAUGGAGGGGGCUAACUACUGGAAACGGUAGCUAAUACCGCAUACCAUCAGAUGUGCCCAGAUGGGAUUAGCUAGUAGGUGGGGUAAUGGCUCACCUAGGCGACGAUCCCUAGCUGGUCUGAGAGGAUGCCAAGCCACACUGGAACGGAGACACGGUCCAGACUCCUACGGGAGGCAGCAGUGGGGAAUAUGGCACAAGGGGCGCAAGCCUGAUGCAGCCAUGCCGAGUGGGUGAAGAAGGCCUUCGGGUUGUAAAGCACUGUCAGCGGGGAGGCGUUACCCGCAGAAGAAGCACCGGCUAACUCCGUGCCAGCAGCCGCGGUAAUUC
rnacentral:rRNA from 1 species